GACGAACGCUGGCGGCGCGCUUAACACAUGCAAGUCGAACGGAAAGGCCUGCUUUCCCUUGUGGAUUGCGGGUACUCGAGUGGCGAACGGGUGAGUAACACGUGAGUGAUCUGCCCCCAACUUGGGUAUAAGCCUGGGAAACUGGGUCUAAUUCCCGAUAGGACUGCAGGGUGGUGCCUGUGGUGGAAAACGAUUUUCUAGUGGUUGGGGAUGAGCUCGCGGCCUAUCAGCUUGUUGGUGGGGUAAUGGCCUACCAAGGCGGCGACGGGUAGCCGGCCUGAGAGGGUGGACGGCUACAUUGGGACUGAGAUACGGCACAGACUACUACGGGAGGCAGCAGUGGGGAAUAUUACACAAUGGGCGGAAGCCUGAUGCAGCGACGCCGCGUGGGGGAUGACGGCCUUCGGGUUGUAAACUCCUUUCGACCGCGAGGAAGCCACCUGGUUGGAAGGGUGGUGACGGUAGUGGUAGAAGAAGCACCGGCUAACUACGUG
rnacentral:rRNA from 1 species